rfam:Firmicutes bacterium CAG:145 genomic scaffold, scf21
GCGAAUUCGUUGGGAGCUACGCUCCGAUUCAAAUUGUCCUUAAAGAGCUUCGCCUGGCAUGGUUUGGGUCCUGCGCAAUGGGAUGCCGUGAACCUUGUCAGGUCCGGAAGGAAGCAGCAAUAAGCGGAAGUUCUUAUGUGCCGCAGAUCAGCCUUCUCCAACGCCACGCGCGGCUCUUUAAGGGCAAUUUUCGU